AUGGCGGCUGAGGCGUUGAGGGCUAGGCGCCCCGUGUCCUCCUGCGGGCAGGUGGAGACGCACGGCCGGGCCCGGGGAGCCGCCGAGGCCCUGUGCAGCCGGUGUGGAAGAAGGGCGCCCAGAGCUCUGGGUCACCACCAUGAACUUCACUGUGGACAUACUUUUUGUGACCUGUGCUUAUUAAUGACUGAAGAAUACAGCACAAUCACAUGCCCUGAUUGUGAGAUGAGGAAUUGUUCUCAGGACUUUGAAAAGACUGCUCAUCAACAAACUGUUGGUUUAGAACAUUCAGCCUCCACACCCAGGACUGUUUUGAACCCAUCAGCUGUAAUAGAGGAAAGUAAAACUGUGGAAGAGAUCGAUGAAGCAUUGAAGAUAGCAGGCCAAAAUUUUGAACAAUUAAGUAUUGCUGUAAAAAUGCUUGAACACAUACACAGUCAAACAAAAGAGGAGACAGUCUGUCUUAAAGAGGUUCUGGAGAAGCAGUUUGAUCAGCUUUUCACUUCUCUUGAUUCCAGGAAGAAGAGCCUGUGUGAAGAGUUAGUGAGAAAUACAGACAAUUAUUUAUCAAAAAUAAUAGUGACUAAAAGCUACAUUGAAGCAAAAAAAAGUGAUUUGGAUGCAGCUAUGAAGAUAGCAAGAGAAUUAAAAUCUGCACCUUCUCUAAGGAUAUAUUGUGACCUAAAUCAGAUUAUCCGGACUUUGAAGUUAACAUUUGAGAGUGACUUGUCACAAGUCAGCUCUCUAAAACUAAGGACGUCUCCCAAAUGUGAUCCUCAAGAAAGUGAAAUGGAAAAGAAUGGUCACAAGAAAUACAAUUGUAAAAAGGAAUUUUCUUACGGUGGUACAUACCUAUCACUAGAAAAGAAAAAGGCUGACAUUUCUGUCCUAACUAAUGAAGCCCCACUGACUUCUUCACAAUGGGAAAACAGUGACAUGGAUUUGGAAGCUGACUUCCAGCCACAGAAAGAGGUUGUUGCAGCAACACUCCCUAAAACCAUUGCUGCUCUACCUCAGGUGGGAUCUAGCCCUGAUGUGAUCAUUGAAGAAAUUAUUGAAGAAGAAGAAAACCUGGAAAGUUCUCCAGAGCUAGUUUUUGUAAGCCAUGUAAUACAUCCAUGCCACUUCUACAUUCGGAAGUACUCACAAAUAAAAGAUGCAACAGUAUUGGAAAGGAAGGUGAAUCAGUUUUGCAAUAAGAAUUUACACCUUGAUCCUUCAGAUGUUUUGGAGCUAGGUGCAAGAAUAUUUAUCAACAGUAUUGAAAAUGGAAUGUGGUGUCGAGGAACUAUUACUGAAUUAAUUCCAAUGGGAAGUGAAAGUAUUAGAAAACUUAGUAGUCCAACCAAAUUCUCAGUCCAUGAAGUUGCGCUAAUACAAAUAUUCAUGGUAGAUUUUGGAAAUUCUGAAGUGCUGAUUGUUGCAGGAGUUGGUGAUGCUCAUGUGAGAUCAGAGCACAUUGCUAAGCAGCAUGUCGUACUAAAUGACUUAUGCCUGGUUCUGAGAAAGUCUGAGCCAUAUAUCGAAGAACUGCUGAAAGAUGUCCAGCCACUAGCACAUCCAUGCUCAUUGAAAGACAUUGUUCCACAGAAUUCAAGUGAAGGCUGGGGAGAAGAAGCUAAAAUAGAAUUUUUGAAAAUGGUAAAUAAGAAGGCUGUUUUAAUGAAAGUUUUUAAAGAAGAAGAUGGUAUGCUUAUUGUAGAUCUGCAGAAACCACCAACAAAUAAAAUAAGCAGUGAUAUGCCUGUGUCUCUUAGAGAUGCAUUAGUUUUUAUGGAACUGGCAAGAGCCCUAACCUAA
rnacentral:lncRNA from 1 species